UCUCAUGGGGAGUAUUCUGUAUGACUUUGACUAUUGCAAACUUUUAUGAUGACUGUUUAGGCAAUCCACAGAUGGAGGUAGAGAAAGCUGAGGGAGAAAAAAGAUUCAGAGCCAGCAAAGCGUGUUUGCUUGAUGUAUUCCAAAAUCAUUGCUGGUGAAAUUGACCCCUCUAUGUCCUGUUUUCCAUAAUAAUGUACAAAACAAUGUAGUGAUUCACACAGUUGAUCCUUGUCCCUGUAAGUUAAAACAGUGUUUAAAAACAGCUAUUGUUAAUAGUGAUCCAAUAUAUAUAGGAUUUGGGGGUGGGGUGGGCUGGGCUGAAACAUUCUCAUAUGUUGUAAAACCACUUUGGGAGGAGCACACUUGUUGAGUAUCAUUCUUAAAAAUAAACAUAAAUCUCUGUCCAUAGUCUCUGGAAUCAAAAAUAGGAGCUUAGAAUUGUGAAGAUAUAAUGCAGGAGAGGAGAGAGGAGGUGGUACUGACAACUCAAGAUUACUGCAUACCUGCUGAACAACAGGAUCUGGAGGGUGGAUUGUCAGAAAAGGAGGGUGAUCCAUGGAAGAAUCUGACCAGAAGGACAAGCCAAAGCAAGAGAUCAGUUAGUGGUGGUGAAAUCAAGUUGAGUAAGACGUUUGCUGCCCUGGGGAACGAGGAGGAGAAAUAGGCAGAAGAUGGAGAGACA